UCACCUUCAAGAGAUUGAAAGCACUCCAAGAAAUCCUUCAUACAUGUAUCUCAUAUAACUUUUUCUUGGUUAGUUUCAUUAAGGCUUUGAUGACAUUAAAAUCUCCCAGAAUACACCAACUGUCAGUAGAGGAGUGAGUUAUUAGAUCUCUCCAAAGGUCACUUCUCUCAAUGUAAUAGUUUAAACCAUAAACAAAGGAUACCAGAAAAGAGUUAUCAAUGUUCAGGAUAUUAUUGGCUCUACAGUGAAUGAUCUAGGAUGAAACAAAAAGGAUGUCCACUUUCCAAACAGAAGGGUUCCAUCCAACCCAGAUUCUCCCAUUGCUAUGAUAGUCAUAGUUAAAAAACCAAGACCAAUUGUGACAAAUUUUCCUAGCUAUUCUAGUGGCCUGAUGCGCUUUGACCCUAGUCUCAAGGAGGCCAACAAAAGAUAUAUGAUUAUCACUAAUAAGUUGCUUAACAUAAGCCUGUUUAGGCUUUUUAUUUAAACCUCUAAUAUUAUAGGAAGCUAACAUAAGAUUAUUGAGGGGUGUGCCCAGCUUUCCCUUUUCCUUUCCUCUUCUUAGCAGCUUGAGGAUUUUCAUUUGUAAAGUUCUAUUUUUUCUUUAGAUCCUUCCCUUCCUUCUUAUUGAU
rnacentral:lncRNA from 1 species